UGUCGCUUCGACCCUAUUGUACACCAAAAUGGGAACAAUACAGGGAAGAUUUGCGUGACUCCUGCGCAAGGGCGACAUGCAAAUUUUUGAAGCGUUCCAAACGAGU
rnacentral:snRNA from 1 species